rfam:Schistosoma mansoni strain Puerto Rico chromosome 2, complete genome
AUCCAGCUGACGAGUUCAGAAUGGGACGAAACGCGCAUCCUGGAU